CCUACGUGAGGCAGCAGUGGGGAAUAUUGCGCAAUGGGCGAAAGCCUGACGCAGCGACGCCGCGUGAGGGAUGAAGGUCUUCGGAUCGUAAACCUCUGUCAGCAGGGAAGAACGGUCACUGUGCUAAUCAGCAGUGAAUUGACGGUACCUGCAAAGGAAGCACCGGCUAACUCCGUGCCAGCAGCCGCGGUAAUACGGAGGGUGCGAGCGUUAAUCGGAAUUACUGGGCGUAAAGCGCUCGUAGGCGGUAUGUCAAGUCAAGGGUGAAAUCCCCGCGCUCAACGUGGGAACUGCCUUUGAAAAUGGCAAACUGGAGUGUGUGAGAGGAUAGUGGAAUUCCAGGUGUAGGAGUGAAAUCCGUAGAUAUCUGGAGGAACAUCAGUGGCGAAGGCGACUAUCUGGCACAUAACUGACGCUGAGGAGCGAAAGCGUGGGUAGCAAACAGGAUUAGAUACCCUGGUAGUC
rnacentral:rRNA from 1 species